UGGGGAAUAUUGCACAAUGGGCGCAAGCCUGAUGCAGCCAUGCCGCGUGUGUGAAGAAGGCCCUCGGGUUGUAAAGCACUUUCAGCGAGGAGGAAGGUGGUGAGCUUAAUACGCUCAUCAAUUGACGUUACUCGCAGAAGAAGCACCGGCUAACUCCGUGCCAGCAGCCGCGGUAAUACGGAGGGUGCAAGCGUUAAUCGGAAUUACUGGGCGUAAAGCGCACGCAGGCGGUUUGUUAAGUCAGAUGUGAAAUCCCCGGGCUCAACCUGGGAACUGCAUUUGAAACUGGCAAGCUAGAGUCUCGUAGAGGGGGGUAGAAAUUCCAGGUGUAGCGGUGAAAUGCGUAGAGAUCUGGAGGAAUACCGGUGGCGAAGGCGGCCCCCUGGACGAAGACUGACGCUCAGGUGCGAAAGCGUGGGGAGCAAAACAGGAUUAGAUACCCUGGUAGUCCACGCUGUAAAACGAUGUCGAUUUUGGAGGUUGUGCCCUUGAGGCGUGGCUUCCGGAGCUAACGCGUUAAAUCGACCGCCUGGGGAGUACGGCCGCAAGGUUAAAACUCAAAAUGAAUUGACGGGGUCAUAGCUG
rnacentral:rRNA from 1 species